rnacentral:rRNA from 1 species
AACGAACGCUGGCGGCAUGCCUAACACAUGCAAGUCGAACGAGACCUUCGGGUCUAGUGGCGCACGGGUGCGUAACGCGUGGGAACCUGCCCUUAGGUUCGGAAUAACUCCCCGAAAGGGGUGCUAAUACCGGAUAAUGUCUUCGGACCAAAGAUUUAUCGCCUUUGGAUGGGCCCGCGUUGGAUUAGCUAGUUGGUAGGGUAAAAGCCUACCAAAGCGACGAUCCAUAGCUGGUCUGAGAGGAUGAUCAGCCACACUGGGACUGAGACACGGCCCAGACUCCUACGGGAGGCAGCAGUGGGGAAUAUUGAACAAUGGGCGAAAGCCUGAUCCAGCAAUGCCGCGUGAGUGAUGAAGGCCUUAGGGUUGUAAAGCUCUUUUACCCGGGAUGAUAAUGACAGUACCGGGAGAAUAAGCUCCGGCUAACUCCGUG